UACGAAGGGGGCUAGCGUUGUUCGGAUUUACUGGGCGUAAAGCGCACGUAGGCGGUUUGUUAAGUCAGGGGUGAAAUCCCAGAGCUCAACUCUGGAACUGCCUUUGAUACUGGCAAGCUCGAGUCCGGAAGAGGUAAGUGGAACUCCUAGUGUAGAGGUGGAAUUCGUAGAUAUUAGGAAGAACACCAGUGGCGAAGGCGGCUUACUGGUCCGGAACUGACGCUGAGGUGCGAAAGCGUGGGUAGCAAACAGG
rnacentral:rRNA from 1 species